UCAGACAAUUUGAAAGACAGAAUAAUGAAUCACAGUAGUGUACCAAUACAAAAGCAACUGAUCUGCCCACAUAGUGGAAGUCGCACCCAAGUAAACUGGUUACUAACUAGACAAACUGAGGUGGAACGCUGAUAUUGUAAGAGGAAAUCAUAAAAAUGAGGCAUCUCUCAACAACUGGCUUUGUCCCAUGUUCUACCUCAUUGGUUCAUUUGUGAUGGAGUUUGUGGCUUUAGCAUUUUAUAUAAAACAGGGCAUCAAUCCAUUAAUAUUGUUUGUUUGUGCAUAGAGUUGUAUGUGAGUGCAGCACCUUGUUUUGUUAACCCAUAGUUAAAGUUGAACAGGGGGAAUCAACCCAGCCAGGGUUUAAAAAAGAACCUGUUGGGACUUGCGGGUGCUAUGCAUGCAGCCGGUACAAAAACAAGAAUGGGGGCCUGAUUCACAGAUGGACUUGGCUGCAAAAUGUGAUGUGUACUACCCACACUGCUUGGUAUGAACAGUAAAAAAACUGGACAGAAAAAUUAAAUUAUUAAUGACAUUUGCUAAUCUUGUGGAUGAUCCAGGAUCCAACUCCUAUUCUUGGAAUUCAAGACUUAGCUAUUUAGGGCAUUCUAAAAAAAAAAAAAAACCCUCCUCAGAACAGUCACAUGAUUGGUGCCAUCCCACAUUUAAACUAAACCUUCCAGAAGUGCUCCUAUUAAACCAACUCCAGGCAGGCAAUGAUUAUUGGGGAAACCUGUCUUCCAAGGAAAGUCUGUUUCAUGACACGAAGGUCAUGGUAGAAAAGCAACCCUGCGUACCCAGAAUGCUGCAGGUCAUUAGGGGGGAUAAGAGAAUCCUCUACAUUUAGCUAGUGCAAGACCUGCUGCUGUGCCUGCUGACAUGUUCACCAGAUGAAAGCGACUAACAGCUGUGGGACAAAUCCCACCUCUUUGACAAGUGCCAGGAAAAUCAGAUGAUCCCGACAGUUCAAAUGGGUAUAAACAUUUAUUGUAAGCUUGAGCUCUCUUGUAAGCUGACCAGCCAAGAGAAAUUAGUGGGAGAUAAGAGUAGAAGGAAUUCAAGGGGAGCUGAACUAGCCAUCUCUUGUUGGCGCAAAGGGACUCAUGACUGAUGAUGCCUUUGACUCCUCCCUCGGGCUCAGCCUGGUCAUUUC